UUGUACAACUGACAAGGUAUCGCCCUUUCCCUUAGAUGCACUGGGAUAUUACCAACAGGAACGUAAAUUGUCUUCUCAAGUUCUCAAGCUCAACUACUUUGCCUUUGUAAAAUACAUUUUCCUUCAAGUUAGUGGAGUUGCGAUGGCCUCCACCUUUGCCCCUAAUUAUUACAAAUUAUGUGGGCUAUUUUGAGCCAAAGUUUAUCGAGGAUGAGACCAGGAACCCUUCCUUUUCCAAGGUCCUCAAAUGGUUCAGGUGGAAUGUAUACAACAUUCACGGCAACAGCUGAAAUCUCCCUCGGGAGGUAGAAAGAUCUGCAUUUGACCACCAAGAGGAGUGAACAGUAGGUCGACACUACAUCAACUCCAAAGCGGUGGAAGAGGCAAACCACUACUUUGACCCCAUCUGCUCCUGCCCAUACAUACCAACAGCCUGGGAGGAUGGGACACCACAACUCAACAAACCCUGUAACUCUUCUGAAGACAAAUCUCAUAUACCCAAAUACUUCUCAGCAGCUGCCACCACAACAUAUAUUUUCUGCGAUUUACUUUCCAUUUCUGCGGUACAGUUGAUAACCAUUGCUAUGAGCGCUAAGAAGCCAACCUUACUGAAACAUAACUCAAUCGUUACCCUAUCCCUCUAUACCAGCACAAAUCUACUACUCACUGUGAUCCUCUCAGGAUCCCUCACCCUUAACCCAUCCUUCUCCACUUUUUUUCACUGCCCAAGACACUUUAACCAAAAAUGUCACUCGUACUUGUCCAGAUUAUUCCUCAACACACACUCAGCUCUUCUUCCUUGCUGUCCAUAACCAUGUCUAUCCGUUCACCACUCUAUUGCCCAGCUGCAUGGCUUGCAAAGCACACACUGAAGGCGUUUCUCCAAAACCCAACUUCUGUUCCUUAGCCGACUUUACAAGUCUGUCUAUCUCUGACUUCACCAUACAGGUGCCGUCUCUUUCCAAACCAAAGUUCCUAUGACAUGCACUGUCAAUUGUGGGACCUUAUAUAGACAGGUGUGUUUCUUUCUAAAUCAUGUCCAAACAAUUGAGUUGGCCACAAGUUUACUCCAAUCAAGCUAUAGAGAAGUCUCAGGGCGAAUCAAAGGAAAUUGGAUGCACCGGAGCUCAAUUUGGAGUAUCAUAGCAAAGGGGUGUGAAUAAAACAUUUUAAUCCAACUGCCACAUGUGCCGAAUACAAGUCUAGGACCAAAAGGCUGCCUAACAGCUUCUACCCCCAAGCCAUAAGACUGCUGAACAAUUAGUCAAAUGGCCACGGACUCUUUACAUUGCGCCCCCCCCCCCCCCCAUUUGUUUUGUACACUGCUGCUACUCGCUGUUUACUUUCUAUGCAUAGUCACUUCACCCCUCCUACAUGUACAAAUUACUUCAACUAACCUGUACCCCCACACACUGACUCGGUACUGGUACACCCUGUAUAUAGCCUCGUUAUUGUGUUAGUUAAAAUAUUUUCCCAAAACAUGAUAACUCUUCUUGAACGGCACUGUUGGUUAAGGGCUUGUAAGUAAGCAUUUCACUGUAAGGUUUACACUUGUUGUAUUUGGCGCAUGUGAAAAAUAAAGUUUGAUUUGAAUACUUAUGUAAA